rnacentral:rRNA from 1 species
UACGUAGGCAGCAAGCGUUGUUCGGAGUUACUGGGCGUAAAGGGUGUGUAGGCGGUUGCUUAAGUUUGGUGUGAAAUCUCCCGGCUCAACUGGGAGGGUGCGCCGAAUACUGAGCGACUCGAGUGCGGGAGAGGAAAGUGGAAUUCCUGGUGUAGCGGUGAAAUGCGUAGAUAUCAGGAGGAACACCUGUGGUGUAGACAGCUUACUGGACCAUUUCUGACGCUGAGACACGAAAGCGUGGGUAGCAAACAGG